UGCUCUUCUGAUCUGGACGACCUUCCCCGAUAGAGGAGGACUGUUCUUCGGUCAAGGGUAUACGAGUAGCUGCGCUCCCCUGCUAGAACCUCCAAACAAGUUCUCAAGGCCCAUUUGUAGGAGAACGUAGGGUAGU